rnacentral:ncRNA from 1 species
CUUUGUACACGCGGGAGCUCGGAGCACCGGGCUGAGAGGGCGCUGACCUCCGCCGGCCGACCGGUCGUCAACACCGGUCAGGAUCGCGGACAUCGCUGCGUCGACCGCCGAACCUGUUACCGGGUAAUGCCGGCGUAGGGAGUAGGUCUCAUGACCAC